rnacentral:misc_RNA from 1 species
GAUGUGCUUUACAAUCCAUAUGCAUUUGGGUGGCUGAGCAAUUUGAUUUUAAACUUGUUUUCCAUAUUUGUUAUGAACGCUAAACAUGCAUGAGCCAACAUUUGGUGCAAGGAUGAGAGUUACCAAACAAUGGCAACAUGAUUAUGGGUAGUUUUUUGUUUCUUCUGUGUACUUUAUUUGCAUUAGCUGUGAGGACAAGACU